rnacentral:rRNA from 1 species
CAUGCAAGUCGAACGAUGAAAGUCGUUUUGAUAUCUUCGGAUUGAUAAACUUCUGGAUUAGUGGCGGACGGGUGAGUAACGCGUGAGCAAUCUGCCUUACACAAAGGGAUAGCCUCGGGAAACCGGGAUUAAUACCAUAUGAUAUCUACGAGCCGCAUGGCCUAUAGAUUAAAGAAUUUCGGUGUAAGAUGAGCUCGCGUCCCAUUAAUUAGUUGGUGAGGGUAACGGCCCACCAAGAUAGCGAUGGGUAGCCGAUCUAAGAGGAUGACCGGCCACAUUGGAACUGAGAAACGGUCCAAACUCCUACGGGAGGCAGCAGUGGGGAAUAUUGCACAAUGGGGGAAACCCUGAUGCAGCGACGCCGCGUGAGCGAUGAAGGCUUUCGAGUCGUAAAGCUCUGUCCUAUGGGAAGAUAAUGACGGUACCAUAGAAGAAAGCCCCGGCUAAUUACGUGCCAGCAGCCGCGGUAAUACGUAAGGGGCGAGCGUUGUCCGGAAUUAUUGGGCGUAAAGAGUGCGUAGGCGGCAAAUUAAGUCAGAUGUGAAAACUAAGGGCUCAACCCAUAGAUUGCAUCUGAAACUGAUAUGCUUGAGUCAAGGAGAGGAAAGUGGAAUUCCUAGUGUAGCGGUGGAAUGCGUAGAUAUUAGGAGGAAUACCGGUGGCGAAGGCGACUUUCUGGACUUGAACUGACGCUGAGGCACGAAAGCGUGGGGAGCAAACAGGAUUAGAUACCCUGGUAGUCCACGCCGUAAACGAUGAGUGCUAGGUGUCUGCUCAUAAGAGUAGGUGCCGUACGUUAACACAUUAAGCACUCCGCC